UAACUGCGGAAGGAUCAUUAUCAAAACAGCGGACUUCGGUCCUUGCUGCACCCUUGUCUUUUGCGUACCGUAUGUUUCCUCGGCGGGCUUGCCUGCCGGUUGGACAUUAUCAAACCUUUUUGUAGUUGCAAUCAGCGUCAGAAAAUAAUAAUAAUUACAACUUUCAACAACGGAUCUCUUGGUUCUGGCAUCGAUGAAGAACGCAGCGAAAUGCGAAAAGUAGUGUGAAUUGCAGAAUUCAGUGAAUCAUCGAAUCUUUGAACGCACAUUGCGCCCCUUGGUAUUCCAUGGGGCAUGCCUGUUCGAGCGUCAUUUUGUACCCUCAAGCACUGCUUGGUGUUGGGCGCUUGUCCUGCAAAGGACUCGCCUGAAAGCGAUUGGCGGCCAACGUACUGGUGGUAGAGCGCAGCACAAUUUGCGUCUUUCCCCUCUGCGUUAGCGUCCAUAAAGCCUAUUUCAACGUUUGACCUCGGAUCAG
rnacentral:rRNA from 1 species